rnacentral:rRNA from 1 species
UCCGGAGGGAGCUAGCGUUGUUCGGAUCUACUGGGCGUAAAGCGCACGUAGGCGGCGCCGUAAGUCAGGGGUGAAAUCCCGGAGCUCAACUCCGGAACUGCCCUUGAAACUGCAGUGCUAGAAUCUUGGAGAGGCGAGUGGAAUUCCGAGUGUAGAGGUGAAAUUCGUAGAUAUUCGGAAGAACACCAGUGGCGAAGGCGACUCGCUGGACAAGUAUUGACGCUGAGGUGCGAAAGCGUGGGGAGCAAACAGG